CCUGAAAAAGAUGUGGCCUCUCUUAUCUUGUGACACUGUCCACUCACCUAACUCAACAAAAUACUGUCGACUCAAGUCUCUCUGGUAUCAACCUCAAUGCUGCCAUCUCCAUCUCCAAACUGCCGCGAUUCAAACCCAGAAAAGGAAAGCCACGCUCCCAUCCCACCACCACCACCUCCAAAUUCCAGCGAACAGAUAACUCUGCAAAAUCCUCUGCACUAAAAAAGGACUGUUCUACUAAAUUAUCUCCCAAAUUCCAAUGAAACCGACGGCGAACGCGAGCGCGAGUUCGAAGCCUUCACCUCCCUUUUAUUCUUUGAGUUCUCCAUGGCUUCUUCUUUGAACGCUCGAAUGUCUGCAACUGCAAGCGAUUUCUAAAAGGAUUUGCAGCAAUCCCUUCAUUGUCAGGUGGGUCACCGCCGCGAUGCCUGAUUCAAUAAGUUCAGGUUCGAAAACGGUGCACUCGCUGAAUCAAUUUCAUUGAUUUUGCUUCCAAUCUCGUAAAUUUGUUUAAUUUGUGAUUGAAUGAUUGGGUUCGGAAUCGUUAACCUCUGCAAAUUUGUAAAUUUAUUCUAUCUAUUUCAUUCGCACUCUUGUGAACCACGGAGAGGCCACUCGGAGGUGGUUCAACAGCCAGGUAACCGCAAAGUGAAGGCUCAGACCCCCCUCCGUUGCCCGAACCCGAGGAUGAGGUGCUGUGAGUUAUGCAAUUCGAUUGAGAAAGCUCCCGUUUGGAAUUUCAAUUAAUUGUUUAAUCAAUCAAUCAAUUUUCUUUUGUUUUGUGUUUUUUGAUCAUCUGAAGAAUGUGGUUGAUGUUUGUUUGGAUUGUUGGUUUGUGAAUUUUUGAAGGAAAAUUGGCUGAUGUUGUUCUUGGAUUUGACUUUGUGGAGCCCUAUGUGGUAAAGAUCUUUGAUUUCUAUUGUAUCCUACUUUUCCUUGCAAGCAAGAGUGCUGUCUCGUAUCUAGCAUUCGCAAUGUCGCAUUUUGCCCCUAAAGAAAUCAAAGGCUCGCACAGUGGCUUCCUCUUGCUGCUAACAUCAACGGAGUGUAUCCAUCGGCAUCAGACGCACAUCAGAGCCCCUGCUUAUCAAAUGUAUGAACAAAAUCUGUGGGGCCGUGUUGUGCUGCCUGAUGUAGAGUCCCAUAAAACUCAACAGGACUAUCAAGCACCUUUUGAGGUGCAGCAUUCUUAAGCACCAACUUUCAAAUUCUUCAGAGUUUUAAUUUGUAUCAAAUAGUUCCAUUACCGUCUGGCCACGUUUAUUCUGCAGGUUUAAGUCAGCCCCAGCAUCGAUAAGCAAUUUGAAAGUUUCUAGAUAACGCCCUUUGCAGCUAUCAUGGCAGCUGAGUAUCCCUUUUCAUCUUGCUCAUUGUGAUCAAUGUCUGCCCCCUCAAUCAGUUUCUUCAAAGCCUCAAUACC
rnacentral:lncRNA from 1 species